rnacentral:rRNA from 1 species
ACUCCUACGGGAGGCAGCAGUGGGGAAUAUUGUGCAAUGGGGGAAACCCUGACACAGCAACGCCGCGUGAGCGAAGAAGGCCUUCGGGUUGUAAAGCUCAAUAGUAUGGGAAGAUAGAGACGGACCAUACGAAAGCCCCGGCAACUCG